GUAGGGGGCAAGCGUUGUCCGGAUUUAUUGGGCGUAAAGCGCUCGCAGGUGGUUCGUCGCGUCGUGCGUGAAAGACCCUGGCUCAACUGGGGGGUGUCGUGCGAUACGGGCGAACUGGAGGCCAGUAGGGGGAUGCGGAAUUCCGGGUGUAGUGGUGGAAUGCGUAGAGAUCCGGAGGAACACCAGCGGCGAAGGCGGCAUCCUGGACUGGUCCUGACACUCAGGAGCGAAAGCGUGGGGAGCGAUCCGGAUUAGAUACCCGGGUAGUCCACGCUGUAAACGAUGCGCACUAGGUGUCGGGGGUAUCGACCCCCUCGGUGCCGCAGCUAACGCGGUAAGUGCGCCGCCUGGGGAGUACGGCCGCAAGGCUAAA
rnacentral:rRNA from 1 species